rnacentral:rRNA from 1 species
UACAGAGGGUGCGAGCGUUGUCCGGAAUCACUGGGCGUAAAGCGCGCGUAGGUGGCUCGACAAGUCAGUGGUGAAAGCUCGACGCUCAACGUCGAGUCGGCCACUGAUACUGUUGGGCUUGAGCACUGUAGAGGCUAAUGGAAUUCCGGGUGUAGGGGUGGAAUGCGUAGAGAUCCGGAAGAACACCGGUGGCGAAGGCGGUUAGCUGGGCAGUUGCUGACACUGAGGCGCGACAGCGUGGGGAGCAAACAGG